rnacentral:ribozyme from 1 species
CCCAACCGUUGCUACUGCCUUGACGUGGUGGUCGGGCUUGCCUAUCGUGAUGAACCAAUAGAACUAUGCUGGCUGAAACAAUCGUUCCAUGCCAGGCAGGUCGGUUGAAGAGCGGUAAGACUAAAAGCAGC